ensembl:snoRNA
CCAGUCUGAAAAUCACCUCAGAUAUCUCAGUUGUCUGGAGAGAGACAACUGGGCCUAAAGUACUGUGGUAUGUUACGUUUAUUGCCUGCUCUGUACAGCAGUGUGAUUAAACUCAUGUCCCACAAUU